UUACCUGUGACUUUUGGGAAUAAACAAAAAGUUCUAGGGAAAGCACUUUCCUUAAUCCGGUUCCCACUGAUGACAGUUGAGGAAUUUGCAGCAGGUCCUGCUCAAUCUGGAAUUUUGUCAGAUCGAGAAGUAGUAAACCUCUUUCUUCAUUUUACUGUCAACCCUAAACCCCGAGUUGAAUACAUUGACCGACCAAGAUGCUGUCUCAGGGGAAAGGAAUGCUGCAUCAAUAGAUUCCAGCAAGUAGAAAGCCGCUGGGGUUACAGUGGGACGAGUGAUCGAAUCAGAUGGAGUCGCUCUGUCACUCAGGCUGGAGUGCAGUGGCACGAUCUCUCACACUGCAACCUCUGCCUCCUGGGUUCAAGCAAUCCUCCCACCUCAGCCUCCUGAGUAACCUGUAAGGCAUGCAUCACCAUGCCCAGCUAAUCUUUCUGUAUUUUUAGUAGAGACAGGGUUUCACCAUGUGUCCAGGCUGGUCUCGAACUACUGACCUCAAGUAAUCCAACUGCUUCAGCCUUCCAAAGUGCUGGGGUUACAGGGGUGAGCCACCACGCCCGGCUGUUACAUGAUUUUUGUUUGGAUCACCACUGCCAGUGGGCUGGGUUCU
rnacentral:sRNA from 1 species